AAUCAACGCUGGCGGCGUGCCUAACACAUGCAAGUCGAACGCGAGAGGGGCUUCGGCCCCGAUUGAGUGGCGAACGGGUGAGUAACGCGUGGGUGACCUACCUUCGAGUGGGGGAUAACGUCCCGAAAGGGACGCUAAUACCGCAUAACAUCCUGCUUUUGAAUGGGUGGAGAUCAAAGCCGGGGAUCGCAAGACCUGGCGCUUGAUGAGGGGCCCGCGUCUGAUUAGCUAGUUGGGAGGUAACGGCCCACCAAGGCAACGAUCAGUAUCCGGCCUGAGAGGGGCGGACGGACACACUGGGACUGAGACACGGCCCAGACUCCUACGGGAGGCAGCAGUGGGGAAUUGUUCGCAAUGGGCGCAAGCCUGACGACGCAACGCCGCGUGGAGGAUGAAGGUCUUCGGAUUGUAAACUCCUGUUGCCCGGGACGAAUGGCUCCGACCUAACACGUCGGAGUGUGACGGUACCGGGUGAGGAAGCCCCGGCUAACUCUGUGCCAGCAGCCGCAGUAA
rnacentral:rRNA from 1 species